rnacentral:rRNA from 1 species
GAGUUUGAUCCUGGCUCAGAUUGAACGCUGGCGGCAGGCCUAAACACAUGCAAGUCGAGCGGUAGAGAGAAGCUUGCUUCUCUUGAGAGCGGCGGACGGGUGAGUAAUGCCUAGGAAUCUGCCUGGUAGUGGGGGAUAACGCUCGGAAACGGACGCUAAUACCGCAUACGUCCUACGGGAGAAAGCAGGGGACCUUCGGGCCUUGCGCUAUCAGAUGAGCCUAGGUCGGAUUAGCUAGUUGGUGAGGUAAUGGCUCACCAAGGCGACGAUCCGUAACUGGUCUGAGAGGAUGAUCAGUCACACUGGACUGAGACACGGUCCAGACUCCUACGGGAGGCAGCAGUGGGGAAUAUUGGACAAUGGGCGAAAGCCUGAUCCAGCCAUGCCGCGUGUGUGAAGAGGUC